ensembl:ncRNA F08B12.8 ncRNA
GAAAAAUGUUUGCAUUUUACACAAUGUGCGAUCUUCGGGUGAAUUGAUUUAGGUUUAGGGUAGCCGGCGAGCACGAAAAAGCGAAAAGCAAAGAAACUAU